GCCUUCAUAGUGUAGUGGUGAUCACUUUGGACGCUUAUUCCAGAGGUCCGUGGUUCGAUUCCCGGUGAAGGCG